ACAAAAAGCAAAAGUUGUCUCCUCUCCUUUAGGAAAUUUGCCUUUGUUGGUUAACACCUUUGAGGAGGAAGAAGCUAAGGAAGGGAGAGUUGGAUAUACCCAUUUUGCCAGUGCAACUGCUGCUACCAUUCCUUGUUUCUUGUUAGAUUGUGCCAAUGGGCCUCUACACUGCCCAUCCACCUCAUCUUUAAAACACAUAUGCGGUCAGAGAAUAUGAACUGUGCUCAGUAUGGGCCAUGUUCCAGCAGAUCAAUAUCAAAGACCAUUACAGUGCCUGAAAAGAAAAUCUCCCUACUAAGUAUGACCACCUCUAAAAAAGGACCGCUGACCUCCAAGUCUGAGAAUCACACCUACAGGAUAGCAGGAUGUGUCCAGAAUGAGGAGAGCUGA
rnacentral:lncRNA from 1 species